UCGGCCCCGGUUCACGUACGCGCAAUCCGCGCGGGCGACCCGGCGCC
rfam:Streptomyces agglomeratus strain 6-3-2 1, whole genome shotgun sequence.